rnacentral:rRNA from 1 species
CGUGGGUAACCUGCCUCCAUACACAUGGAUAACAUACCGAAAGGUAUGCUAAUACAGGAUAAUACUAAGAGAGUUCACAAUGGAUUUCUUAUCAAAGCUCCGGCGGUAUGAGAUGGACCCGCGUCUGAUUAGGCUAGUUCGGUAAGGUAACGGCUUACCAAGGCGACGAUCAGUAGCCGACCUGAGAGGGUGAUCGGGCCACAUUGGAACUGAGACACGGUCCAAACUCCUACGGGAGGCAGCAGUGGGGAAUAUUGCGACCAAUGGGCGAAAGCCUGAUCGCAGCAACGCCGCGUGAGUGAUGAAGGCCUUCGGGUCGUAAAACUCUGUCCUCAAGGAAGAUAAGUGACGGUACUUGAGGAGGAAGCCCCGGCUAACUACGUGCCAGCCGCGGC